CCUACGGGAGGCAGCAGUGAGGAAUAUUGGUCAAUGGACGAGAGCCUGAACCAGCCAAGUAGCGUGAAGGAUGACUGCCCUAUGGGUUGUAAACUUCUUUUAUAUGGGAAUAAAAUGUUCCACGUGUGGGAUUUUGUAUGUACCAUAUGAAUAAGGAUCGGCUAACUCCGUGCCAGCAGCCGCGGUAAUACGGAGGGUCCGAGCGUUAUCCGGAUUUAUUGGGUUUAAAGGGAGCGUAGGUGGAUUGUUAAGUCAGUUGUGAAAGUUUGCGGGUCAACCGUAAAAUUGCAGUUGAAACUGGCAGUCUUGAGUACAGUAGAGGUAGGCGGAAUUCGUGGUGUAGCGGUGAAAUGCUUAGAUAUCACGAAGAACUCCGAUUGCGAAGGCAGCUCACUGGACUGCAACUGACACUGAGGCUCGAAAGUGUGGGUAUCAAACAGGAUUAGAUACCCGUGUAGUC
rnacentral:rRNA from 1 species